UUGACCUGUCCGGGUUGGGAGAUAGGGCCGGAUGGUGCAUAUGGAUAUUCCGGGUCGAGGACAGGUGGAGCAAAAUCCGCUCAGACCCGAGCCAUUGCCAUCAUCCCUAGUACUCAGCAAUUUGGUGGCCUUUUGCAGCUAAGGAUGGGAGGCCGAGGAGUUAUUGGUGAUAAAUGGACCUCAAGGAUUCUUUGGGCUUAUGCUAGCUAUAGGAAGAGCAAUCAGUGCCUGCAUAUGGUUGUUGUUGAAAGACAAUUACAAAACAGGGAACGAAUGAUGGCUGAAGGUUUGAAGAAUACUGUUGCAGAAGUAGGCACCGGUACUGACAAUGCUUAAAUGCGCGACUAUAAAUGCCGAUAAACUCUCAGCAGUACUUUUGAAGAGCUAUCUCGAUAUGCUAACUUGAGUCAACUGUUCAUGUAAGAGAUUAGAGAUCUCCUCUUGUUUUGUUUUGGCAUUUGGAGCUUGAGGGUUUUUCUCUCAUGACAAUUCAUCUACUUCUGAUAGAUGUUAGUGUUUCAUCUGUCGGAGUAAACAGUUCAUACUGAGGAAUAUAAAAGAAUAGCCUUCAAAUUUUGCUGUAAUCUAAAAUCUUUUGAAUUGCCUCGUCAAUUUGGAAA